rnacentral:rRNA from 1 species
UACGUAGGGCGCAAGCGUUUGUCCGGAAUUAUUGGGCGUAAAGAGCUCGUAGGUGGCUUGUCACGUCGGGUGUGAAAGCUUGGGGCUUAACUCCAGGUCUGCAUUCGAUACGAGCAAACUAGAGUGUUGCAGGGGAGACUGGAAUUCCUGGUGUAGCGGUGAAAUGCGCAGAUAUCAGGAGGAACACCGGUGGCGAAGGCGGGUCUCUGGGCCGUAACUGACGCUGAGGAGCGAAAGCGUGGGGAGCGAACAGG